ensembl:lncRNA
GCAAACUGCCAGGGUCGGACUGGGGUUGGGAUACCGCACCCGCAGGUGCUGGUCUCAGAUCCAGUUGUGGGAGAAACUGCACCAUAUCUAGGAUGCUGAUUCAAAGCAUACACUCCCUUGUGAAGAAACUUGCCCCAGAUUUCCAUGCUGUUUCCAUCUAAUUGGAGUACAAAGAAGCUGUGUUCCAGAGAUGUUCAAGGUUGUAUCUCCUGCUGCAGCUGGACUUGUAAUGUGUAAGAAUCACCAAGGUAGUAUUGGCUUUAAAGGUAUGAAGGGGUCAUAAGAUCACAUGAGGCUUGGCACUGUGAGAGUGAGGGAUGGCCACUGUUGAAGGAAUAGCCUUAGUAACAGUUGAGGUCUCAGGAAUGAAGGGACCAUGAAAAGAAGUUGAGGCUUAGCAUCAUGAAGAGAGUC